rnacentral:rRNA from 1 species
GGCGAACGCUGGCGGCGUGCUUAACACAUGCAAGUCGAACGGAAAGGCCCUGCUUUUGUGGGGUGCUCGAGUGGCGAACGGGUGAGUAACACGUGAGUAACCUGCCCUUGACUUUGGGAUAACUUCAGGAAACUGGGGCUAAUACCGGAUAGGAGCUCCUGCUGCAUGGUGGGGGUUGGAAAGUUUCGGCGGUUGGGGAUGGACUCGCGGCUUAUCAGCUUGUUGGUGGGGUAGUGGCUUACCAAGGCUUUGACGGGUAGCCGGCCUGAGAGGGUGACCGGCCACAUUGGGACUGAGAUACGGCCCAGACUCCUACGGGAGGCAGCAGUGGGGAGUAUUGCACAAUGGGCGGAAGCCUGAUGCAGCAACGCCGCGUGCGGGAUGACGGCCUUCGGGUUGUAAACCGCUUUCGCCUGUGGCGAAGCGUGAGUGACGGUAAUGGGUAAAGAAGCACCGGCUAACUACGUG